rnacentral:lncRNA from 1 species
UUACAAUGGCUUUUUAGGCUUACAUACAAAUGAGAGACUCAUGUCCUAUUUAUAGACCAUAGCUUACAUAUGAUUACUUCUAAAUAAUUCUACAUGUGUCUACAAACCUCACAAACUUUCUUGGUGCCAAAGUUUCUCUAAGAAAUUCUAGAUAAUUCUGAUUUUUAUUAGUCUUGUUUGCCAAGCAAUUCUAGGAUCUUCUCGAAAAUUCCUAAAAUAUGCAUCAACCAUUAAUAAAAUUGAACCAAAUAAUUAAAUUCUGGAAGGAGAAAACGGCCUUUGAUUUGGAUUUAGUAAUUAUCAGCCGUAGUAGUUUUCCUCGCGAGCACGACUGAGAAAAUUAAAGAAUAUUUAGAGAGAUUUUGAGGAAAUUUCGCACGCAGACUUGGUAGGUUCUGUUCGAAGAGGAAAAAGGGGAAAAUUCAUAUCAACCCAAUAAAUUUAAAAGAUUGGGUAAUUAUGUUACUACUACAAAAUGUUAUAUCAACACCACAUUAUAUCCAUACCACAGUUAAAACAUAAUUUUAGUAAAUGAACCACAAUAAAUUUACAAUUAUAUACCUAAUAUAAUAAAAAUAAUAAAAAAGGAGAAAACAUAUUUUUCACAGAUACACCACAAGUAAACUUUAUAUUUUUCCUUUAUUCGGACAUCUCUCUCUCCAUUGGCUUCUCUCAGCAUGAAUUCCAAGUUAUAAUUAGAACCCUCGUAAAGUCGUUUUGUUGUUUGUAUUCUAGAGACUCCCGAAACCAGUAAAACUCCCUCCCCAGAAGAAUCCAGGAUUGCAGGCCCAGAUUCAAAUCCACCAUUAGGAAGCAGAUUAUCUGUUUUCGCAUAUUUUUUUCCGUCAAACAAGCAAUUCAUGAGUUAGUUCUCCUUUCAUUAGAUUAGGCUAGAGAUGAUUAAAAUGAAAAAUGUUACACGCAGAACAAAGAGUAGACUGUAGAAGUAUAUAAAUAUAAUAUGAAGAUUGACUCACCACUGUUUUAAGCAAUAGAUAAACUAAAAGAAUGGCCCUUUUCCAGUUUCCACAGAUAAAAUAAGUUUGAAUGUCAAUAGAUAAACGAUGCUUUACAAUAAUCAUGCUGCAGAAAUAUAAAAAGAAUGAUAACAGGCAAAAGUUUCGUCAUUGUUCUCACCAUUUGCGAUAAUUAAAGAAGAUAUUAAAAGCAACAGGAAACUAUGUUCUCCAUGCGAAAGAAUGAUUAAAAAAUCACAACAGAUAACAGUGUAAAGAAUGAUCUGUUUAAUUCUUUGAGCAUGAAGAAUUCUUAUAAUAGAUUGCAAACCCCUUCAUGAUUUUAUCGGAUGUGAAAAAAAAAUAAAUAAAAUCAUUUCCAUGAUGAAAUUUUACCUGUGUUUGACGGCUACAAACUUGCAAUUGUAGAAAAGAAGAAGAAUAAAUUAGGUUAAUUUUUGUGGUGUGAUUAUAUAAUUUUACUUAAAGCUAUUUAAGUAAAUAAGAAAAAAAAUUAAAAAUACUUAAUAA